GACGGGAGGAACAGGUGUUACUCAUCUUGACUGGGCGUAAAGGAUGCGUAGAUGGUUAUUUAAGUUAAAAAUAAAAUUUUAAUUUUUAAAAAUAAUUUUUAAUACUAAGUAACUAGAGUCUAGAAGAAGAAAAAGGUACUCACAAUGUAGAGGUGAAAUUCGGUGAUAUUGAGGGGACCAUCUAAAGCGAAAGGCAUUUUUCUAUUUUAGUACUGACAUUGAGGCAUUACAGCAUGGGGAUCAAACAGG
rnacentral:rRNA from 1 species